AUGGCUGCCGUACGCCGGGCCCGCAGUUACUGCCGCUGCCUGGUGCGCUUCUCCGACCGAGAACUCUACUAA